rnacentral:rRNA from 1 species
UACAAAAAAUACAAACGUUGCUCGGAAUCAUUGGGCGUAAAGCGCACGUAGGCGGCCCAGCAAGUGGGGAGUGAAAACCCUCAACUUAACCAAAAAAAUACUUUCCAAACUACUGGGCUUGAAUACUGGAGAGGGUCGCGGAAUUCCCGGUGUAGAGGUGAAAUUCGUAGAUAUCGGGAGGAACACCAGUGGCGAAGGCGGCGACCUGGACAGAUAUUGACGCUGAGGUGCGAAAGCGUGGGGAGCAAACAGG